rnacentral:tRNA from 1 species
UGGCUUAGUUGGUUAAAGCACCGGUCUAGCGAAUACGGGGUCGUGGGUUCGAAUCCCAC